GAUGAACGCUGGCGGCGUGCCUAAUACAUGCAAGUAGAACGCUGAAGGAGGAGCUUGCUCUUCUGGAUGAGUUGCGAACGGGUGAGUAACGCGUAGGUAACCUGCCUGGUAGCGGGGGAUAACUAUUGGAAACGAUAGCUAAUACCGCAUGACAACAGUUAUUGCAUGAUAACUGUUUAAAAGGGGCAACUGCUCCACUACCAGAUGGACCUGCGUUGUAUUAGCUAGUUGGUGAGGUAACGGCUCACCAAGGCGACGAUACAUAGCCGAACUGAGAGGGGGAACGGCAAAACUGGGAAUGAGAAAAGGCCCAGAAGCAUAAGGGAGGCAGCAGGAGGGAAACGUCGGAAAUGGACGGAAGUCUGAACGAGCAAAGCCGAGGGAGGGAAGAAGGUUGUCGGAUCGGAAAGAUCUGUUGUAAGAGAAGAAAGAGUGUGAGAGUGGAAAGUUCACAAUGUGACGGUAGCUUAACAGAAAGGGACGGCUAACUACGUG
rnacentral:rRNA from 1 species